rnacentral:rRNA from 1 species
GACGAACGCUGGCGGCGUGCUUAACACGUGCAAGUCGAACGGUGAAGCGCCUUCCUUUUUGGUGGGUGUGGAUGAGUGGCGAACGGGUGAGUAACACGUGAGUAACCUGCCCCCUUCUUCUGGAUAACCGCAUGAAAGUGUGGCUAAUACGGGAUAUUCUGGGUCUGUCGCAUGAUGGGUCUGGGAAAGAUAUUGUUUCGGUGGGGGAUGGGCUCGCGGCCUAUCAGCUUGUUGGUGGGGUGAUGGCCUACCAAGGCGGUGACGGGUAGCCGGCCUGAGAGGGUGGGCGGUCACACUGGGACUGAGACACGGCCAAGACUCCCACGAGAGGCAGCAGUGGGGAAUAUGGCACAAUGGGCGCAAGCCUGAUGCAGCGACGCCGCGUGAGGGAUGGAGGCCUUCGGGUUGUGAACCUCUUUCGCCAGUGAAGCAGGCCUGCCUCGUUUGUGGGUGGGUUGACGGUAGCUGGAGAAGAAGCGCCGGCUAACUACGUG